UAUCUCUGUAGAGUCUGCAUAUCAAUAAGCGGAGGAAAAGAAACUAACAAGGAUUCCCCUAGUAACGGCGAGUGAAGCGGGAAGAGCUCAAAUUUGAAAUCUUCAAGGUUUGACCUUGACGAAUUGUAGUUUAAAGAAGUGUUUUCGGUUAGAGGAGUAGUAAAAGUUCUUUGGAAUAGGACAUCAUAGAGGGUGAGAAUCCCGUAUUUGGACUAUUCAUUUCUAGCUUUGUGAUACACUUUCAAAGAGUCGGAUUGUUUGGGAAUGCAGGUCCAAAAUGGGUGGUAAAUUUCAUCUAAAGCUAAAUAUUGGCGAGAGACCGAUAGCGAACAAGUACCGUGAGGGAAAGAUGAAAAGAACUUUGAAAAGAGAGUUAAACAGUACGUGAAAUUGUCAAAAGGGAAGCGUUUGACACCAGUGUUGUUUUUCCGAAAAUCAAUUAAAAAUUGAUUCAUGCCAGGUUGUAUUGACCUUAUCAGCUUGCAAUUUGGUUUUGGGUCUCUUUUUGAUGCACUUUUCGGUUAACAAGUCAACAUCAAUUUCCUUUGCUGUAAAAAGGUAAGAGGAAGGUGGCUUCAAUUUCGGUUGAAGUGUUUAUAGCCUUUUAUCUCUGCAGUCGGGGAGAUUGAGGUCUGCAGCGUAGAUCCUUCGGGGCUAGAUACAUUUAUGCUAAGUUAUAGCUUUUCAUAGACAACUUGUUGACUAUGUUUAGUCAUGUAGCUUACUCGUAAGUGCUAUUUUACCUACGCUUAGGAUGUUGAAGACUCUACAGAGAU
rnacentral:rRNA from 1 species